rnacentral:tRNA from 1 species
GCCGGCAUAGCUCAGUUGGUAGAGCAACUGCAGUAGGUCCACAGUUCGAAUCCGUGUGCCGGCACCA